rnacentral:rRNA from 1 species
CCACUAUGCUUAACCAUAAACCUAGACAGCCAAAAACUCUUACUGUCCGCCAGAGAACUACAMGCAAAAGCUUAAAACUCAAAGGACUUGGCGGUGCUCUACACCUAACUAGAGGAGCCUGUCCCAUAAUCGAUACCCCACGAUAAACCCGACCACUCUUUGAAUACUUCAGCCUAUAUACCGCCGUCACCAGCCUACCUCAUGAGAGUACAAAAGUAAGCAAAACUGCAAACACAAUUACGCCAGGUCAAGGUGUAGCUUACAGGGUGGAGAAGAUGGGCUACAUUUUCUAAGACAGAAUACGCACGGAAAGGCUUAUGAAAAACAACCUAAAAGGCGGAUUUAGCAGUAAAAUAAACAAGAAUUUUUACUUGAAGAUUGCUCUAGAGCACGCACACACCGCCCGUCACCCUCCUCAAUGCACAAACUACAAUUAAACAUAUUAAAACCGCGCACCAAGAUGAGGCAAGUCGUAACACGGUAAG